rnacentral:rRNA from 1 species
UCGGCUUAGAGUUUGAUCAUGGCUCAGGACGAACGCUGGCGGCGUGCCUAAUACAUGCAAGUCGAACGCACCGAAGCUUGCUUUGGUGAGUGGCGGACGGGUGAGUAACACGUGGAUAACCUGCCUAUCAGAGGGGGAUAACACUUGGAAACAGGUGCUAAUACCGCAUAGAUUUUUUUCGCAUGAACGAAAAGGAAAGACGUUCGUGUCACUGAUAGAUGGACCCGCGGUGCAUUAGCUAGAUGGUGAGGUAACGGCUCACCAUGGCGAUGAUGCAUAGCCGACCUGAGAGGGUGAUCGGCCACACUGGGACUGAGACACGGCCCAGACUCCUACGGGAGGCAGCAGUAGGGAAUCUUCGGCAAUGGACGAAAGUCUGACCGAGCAACGCCGCGUGAGUGAAGAAGGUUUUCGGAUCGUAAAACUCUGUUGUUAGAGAAGAACGAGUGGGAGGUAAUUCCCGCUGUGACGGUAUCUAACCAGAAAGCCACGGCUAACUACGUGCCAGCAGCCGCGGUAAUACGUAGGUGGCAAGCGUUGUCCGGAUUUAUUGGCGUAAAGCGAGCGCAGGCGUUUCUUAAGUCUGAUGUGAAAGCCCCCGGCU